UGGGUGGCGAGUGGCGGACGGGUGAGGAAUACAUCGGAAUCUACUCUGUCGUGGGGGAUAACGUAGGGAAACUUACGCUAAUACCGCAUACGACCUACGGGUGAAAGCAGGGGAUCUUCGGACCUUGCGCGAUUGAAUGAGCCGAUGUCGGAUUAGCUAGUUGGCGGGGUAAAGGCCCACCAAGGCGACGAUCCGUAGCUGGUCUGAGAGGAUGAUCAGCCACACUGGAACUGAGACACGGUCCAGACUCCUACGGGAGGCAGCAGUGGGGAAUAUUGGACAAUGGGCGCAAGCCUGAUCCAGCCAUACCGCGUGGGUGAAGAAGGCCUUCGGGUUGUAAAGCCCUUUUGUUGGGAAAGAAAUCCAGCCGGCUAAUACCCGGUUGGGAUGACGGUACCCAAAGAAUAAGCACCGGCUAACUUCGUGCCAGCAGCCGCGGUAAUACGAAGGGUGCAAGCGUUACUCGGAAUUACUGGGCGUAAAGCGUGCGUAGGUGGUCGUUUAAGUCCGUUGUGAAAGCCCUGGGCUCAACCUGGGAACUGCAGUGGAUACUGGGCGACUAGAGUGUGGUAGAGGGUAGCGGAAUUCCUGGUGUAGCAGUGAAAUGCGUAGAGAUCAGGAGGAACAUCCAUGGCGAAGGCAGCUACCUGGACCNACACUGACACUGAG
rnacentral:rRNA from 1 species